CCCCCCUGUACGCCCUGAAGAGACUACUAGGAUAUGAAGCUCUUACCUCAGGGGAGAGCUCGUCUGCUCCAGGAUAUGUAGGUCAUUGCAAUCCCUGUGGACCAAGACCUACAAAGCAGCCUGGCACAAACUCAAACCUGUACUGCUGCAGGUGGUGGACCCUCAAUGUAAACUGAUUUCCUUCAACCCCCCCAUUACACUCCUAUUCUCUAGAGAGAGAAAAAGAAGCUGCUGGUGUGUGUAUGUUUGUACAGGCACGUAAAUGGGGGCGCUCAGUUGUUUGUCUCUACUCUAUAUUGGUAUAAAUAAUGUUUCUGUAUCAAAAAUAUUUUUCAAAGAUUAUUUUAUGAAAAUAAAAAAUGUCACAGUA